rnacentral:lncRNA from 1 species
AAUUUAAGAGAGAGAGAGAAAGAGAGAGAGUGAGUGAGUGAGAUCUCCAUUAGCAUUGCUUGCAUAAAAUUCAAAUUCGAAUUAUAUGAUUACAACAUUGUUUCAUUUCUCUCUGUCUCUAUCAAGAAUAUUUUUUGGCCUUUAAAAUACAUGAGCGAGAAGCUCUCAUGCCUUCUACUUUAUGGCUUUGAAACCAAAUAUCUUCACCACCACAGUUCAAACCAGAGGCUCUACUUUCACUGCCCCAUACAGUUCCCAUUCAAAAUACACAGAGUAAGCUGUGAAUCUCCCAAUUCUUGAUCCUAAUUAUUCAAGUCUAGCAAGGCAGAGAAUUGAUCAAACAAAUAAAACCAUUACUCAAUAGAAUUUAAUCCUUUAGCUAUGAAAAGAACAAGAAAUCAUCAAAUAAACAAAACCAAUACUCCAGCCUUUCCUAUCAUUAGAUAAUUAUUAUAUUAAAAAUAACAAUUAAUCAUUCACUUGAUCCAAAAUUUAAUCCUUUAAGUAUGAAAAGAAUUACAGAAUCAAAGAAAAACCGAAAUCAAAAUAUGAAAAAUGGCUGGGGCAUAUUUUUAAACAUUUGGACUCUGAAGAACACUUAAUCUGAAGAACAUUUGGAAUCAAAGAAAAACUGGAAUCAAAACUGUGGUAUAUAUGGUUACCAAAGCCUGAAGAAAACUUACUCUCUCUAAAAACUACUUUUGGAUCUCACCAGAGAGGUCAUACAAUUUUAGAAAAGGUACAUCUCUCUAAAAAUUAAAUCAAUCGUAUCCAAGAAACAAAUGCACAAGUACCACACUAAGAGCUUUUGAUUGAGAGAGAUGGAGCAAGCUAAAAAUUGUGUGCCCUCUCUCAUUCUUGGUGAGAUCCAAAAGUAAUUUUUAAAGAGAGUGAGUGUUUUUCAAUCUUUGAUAACUAAAAAUACCAGAUGUUCAGUUAUUGUGACUGAAUCACAAAAAAUCCCAAAAAAUAAAUUCUACCUGGUGUGAUCGAAGAGUAACAAAAAAUCCCAAGAAUCAACAGAGUAAAUUCUAGAAAAAAAAUCCCAAAAAUAAAACAAAAAGAAAAGAAAAGAAAUGGCAUUGAGUGUGGCAUUCAUAUAUCGUAUGAUCAGAGAUCUCCAUAGUUGGAUCACAUGAAAGUGAAAAUUAGGGUUUUCUCGAGGUAAAAACUAAGAUGUCUAUCUGUAAAAAAAAACAUAUGCAGAAGAACACUUCCAUUUUUACCUGGCAUUUUUCCUGAUCAAGAGAGAGAGGAUUGGGUAGGGCAAGGCGAGAGAUCGAGAGAUAAAGGAUGGGGGACGGCAAGGAGAGAUAAAAUAGAAAGGCGUGUGAGAGAAAGCAUGAGAGGAGGUUUAAAUUUUGAAAUUCAAAUUUUAUUGAUGUACGAUUUUUUAAAAUUUGAAGUAAAAGUCACAAAUACCCUUCAAUAGGUUUUGGUGCUCAUAUA